rnacentral:sRNA from 1 species
CACGAACGGUAGGCCUUCGUUAGUAGU